rnacentral:rRNA from 1 species
GUGGGGAAUAUUGGACAAUGGGCGAAAGCCUGAUCCAGCCAUGCCGCGUGUGUGAAGAAGGUCUUCGGAUUGUAAAGCACUUUAAGUUGGGAGGAAGGGUAGUAACCUAAUACGUUGCUACUUUGACGUUACCGACAGAAUAAGCACCGGCUAACUUCGUGCCAGCAGCCGCGGUAAUACGAAGGGUGCAAGCGUUAAUCGGAAUUACUGGGCGUAAAGCGCGCGUAGGUGGUUCAGUAAGUUGGAAGUGAAAUCACCGGGCUCAACCUUGGAACUGCUUUCAAAACUGCUGAGCUAGAGUACGGUAGAGGGUGGUGGAAUUUCCUGUGUAGCGGUGAAAUGCGUAGAUAUAGGAAGGAACACCAGUGGCGAAGGCGACCACCUGGACUGAUACUGACACUGAGGUGCGAAAGCGUGGGGAGCAAACAGGAUUAGAAACCCCAGUAGUCC